rnacentral:rRNA from 1 species
UUGAACGCUGGCGGCAUGCCUUACACAUGCAAGUCGAACGGCAGCAUGAUCUAGCUUGCUAGAUUGAUGGCGAGUGGCGAACGGGUGAGUAAUACAUCGGAACGUGCCCUGUAGUGGGGGAUAACUAGUCGAAAGAUUAGCUAAUACCGCAUACGACCUGAGGGUGAAAGUGGGGGACCGCAAGGCCUCAUGCUAUAGGAGCGGCCGAUGUCUGAUUAGCUAGUUGGUGAGGUAAAGGCUCACCAAGGCGACGAUCAGUAGCUGGUCUGAGAGGACGAUCAGCCACACUGGGACUGAGACACGGCCCAGACUCCUACGGGAGGCAGCAGUGGGGAAUUUUGGACAAUGGGCGAAAGCCUGAUCCAGCAAUGCCGCGUGUGUGAAGAAGGCCUUCGGGUUGUAAAGCACUUUUGUCCGGAAAGAAAUGGCUCUGGCUAAUACCUGGGGUCGAUGACGGUACCGGAAGAAUAAGGACCGGCUAACUACGUG